AUUGAACGCUGGCGGCAUGCCUUACACAUGCAAGUCGAACGGUAACAGGUCUUCGGAUGCUGACGAGUGGCGGACGGGUGAGUAAUACAUCGGAACGUGCCUAGUAGUGGGGGAUAACUACUCGAAAGAGUGGCUAAUACCGCAUGAGAUCUACGGAUGAAAGCAGGGGAUCGCAAGGCCUUGUGCUACUAGAGCGGCCGAUGGCAGAUUAGGUAGUUGGUGGGAUAAAAGCUUACCAAGCCGACGAUCUGUAGCUGGUCGGAGAGGACGAUCAGCCACACUGGGACUGAGACACGGCCCAGACUCCUACGGGAGGCAGCAGUGGGGAAUUUUGGACAAUGGGCGAAAGCCUGAUCCAGCAAUGCCGCGUGCAGGAUGAAGGCCUUCGGGUUGUAAACUGCUUUUGUACGGAACGAAAAGCCCCGGGUUAAUACCCUGGAGUCAUGACGGUACCGUAAGAAUAAGCACCGGCUAACUACGUGCCAGCCGCCGCCGUAA
rnacentral:rRNA from 1 species